rnacentral:rRNA from 1 species
UACAGAGGUCUCAAGCGUUGUUCGGAUUCAUUGGGCGUAAAGGGUGCGUAGGCGGCCUGCUGCGUCGGUGCUGAAAGCGCCCGGCUUAACCGGGCGAGGCGUGCCGAUACGAGCGGGCUGGAGCCUUGGCGAGGGUGGCGGAACUCCUGGUGUAGUGGUGAAAUGCGUAGAGAUCAGGAAGAACACCCGUGGCGCAAGCGGCCACCUGGCCAAGAGCUGACGCUGAGGCACGAGAGCGUGGGGAGCGAACCGG